rnacentral:rRNA from 1 species
AAGUCUCAGUUCGGAUUGAAGGCUGAAAUUCGCCUUCAUGAAGCCGGAAUUGCUAGUAAUGGCAGGUCAGCAUACUGCCGUGAAUACGUUCCCGGGCCUUGUACACACCGCCCGUCACACCAUGGGAGCCGGGAAUGCCCGAAGUCGGUGACCCAACCGUAAGGAGGGAGCCGCCGAAGGCAGGCCUGGUAACUGGGGUGAAGUCGUAACAAGGUACC